rnacentral:piRNA from 2 species
UUGCCGAUGCUGUGCAGGCUGCAGAGGG